UAGGGUUUCCAAAACAUCCUUAUUAUCCGCCCCCAUCCCCCUUCCCCUUCUCUCUCAUUGAAACCUAAACUCGCAAGGUCUCUUCCCCCUUCGCACACACAUUCUUAUGGAAAUCAGAAGGAUGAAGCUUCGAUGUAGUUGCAAUCAUAUGAAGAUGGCAAGAAAAACUGUGCAGAUCUGAGUUUCUAUGCUACAUUCAAGAAUUUUCAAGCCCAGAUCUGAGACUUUUUCUUUCUUUAAUAACUUUGCAUCGUGCUACCAUUAAUUUUGAGAAAAAGAUCUAGAUGAACAUGCAUUUUAAGCUCAGAUAUGAGUUUUACACUUAGGAGUUUUACAUUCAGAUGACAGCGAUCACAACUCGGAGAAGCUCAACUUCGUAUCUCUUUUCUCAACUCCAAAUUCGAGCAGUUAUUUGGUCAUCCUCCUCAAAUCUAUAUUGCAGGGUACAGUUUGAUCGCCCAGAUUUAGGGGUUACCGGUUUGCCUACUAAAGCUGCUUUAAAAGUGCUGGUAGAAAAAAUGGGAGUUCCUGAUGAUAAAGCCCGAAAGAAAAUUCGCGGGUUGCAGAUUAUGGCAAACUAUUUGAUUGAUAACAAUAGUGUUAAGUUA